CUAUUUUUACAAAUAAUAAGUUUGAAUGAGAAAGGCUGAGUCUGACCGAUAGGUGGAUUAAUUUAGGUUUUAGUUUAGUCUCCACUCCAGUGUUAUUGUGUUGCUUGUCUCUGUUUAUCGGUUUUGAUCGUUUUGAUUGAGUGUUCACGAGUAAGGAAAUUACUUCUGCGUGGUACAAGCCGCUGAAGCUAGCGGUCACCGUGGUUCCGCAGCAAUGAAUUGUCAGGAAAGGCAGCUACCUCAAUUUACGAAUUCGGCUUAUAUCAUUUGAUAGAAAAUAACGAAACUUCAAUGAAAUUCACACCAAAAGAAGAUGGUGCAUCUGACCGCGAUGAGUAGUUGCUGGAGGAUUGAUUACUGAUGAUGCGGGAGGAGAGGAUGGAACAAUGUAGCUACAACAAAACGACAACACCGAAAAAGAAAGGUGUAAGAGAUUGUGUAUUAGGCUACUUUCUGCAUAGAUUUAAGUUAUAUAUAUUGUUUAUUCAAAAGCAAGCUUAAUCUGUAAUCGGUUAAUCUGUAUUUAGGACAUAAGAAAAAGAUUCAACACCAUGUAUUUCUAGUGAAUGUACGAAAAUGGAAUGUUUUGAAGUAGAAUACUUCUCUCAGGAAGUUCGGCUACAUAGGGAUGUGAAAUGAAAAUCUAAAACCGAAAAAAGUGAAAAAUAUGUCCAAUUUCAAAUGCUAAUAAAUCGGUUAGUAUUCGAUGGAUUUCCUUCGUUCUUGCAGCAAUAGAUUGGAAAAUCUUCUAAGAUUCUUCCCAAAAUAACAUAAUUGUAAUUUUAUUAUUCACACUAUUGUACUAUUGAAAAUAGUCAAGCCUUGUCAAAACGAAAAAUUCGACCUCUGAUUGGUCGUUAUAUGCUUGCUUCCCAAGCACGGUCGACAGGAUCAUAUACCUUGCAAUUGAAAACAUGCUAUUUGGCCUAUAUAAGAGCCUUUUUCAGCCGGAGCCGCUCAUAUUCUUCGUCUCACGCUUGGUGUGUACAGACGUGUUUGUUACAACAACUGAAAGUUUUAGUUUACC